rnacentral:lncRNA from 1 species
UAUAAUCAUGGUUGCCAAGUUGAAAAGAAGAUCUUGCAUAUGGACUGACAUAUUCUAAACACAGUAUUACAAUCUCCAUCACAACGGUUCAGAGAUGAAUGGCAGGCAUAGAAAAGUAACUGAAAAUUGUUGCAACUCACGUCUGACAAAACUCGAAAGUCAAAACUUUUCACCAACAGAGGUAUAUAUAGGGGAGCCAAUAUAUACAUGGAUCAGUGUGCAGUGCAUGUAGUAAUUAAACACAGGGCAAAAUGUCAAUCUAACCUGUGCAGCGCAUGCGAGAUCAAGGCGCCCGCACGACAACGUGAUUCAGUGGUCAGGCCACCGGCCUCCUCGGUCCUGUAGCCUUUUGUGGUGUCUGUAGAGAUCGUGUGGGCAGCGACACCACGAUGCGCUGAAGAUGGUCACCUUGAGCCAAGGGCGCUACAACGCUGUGGUCCUUAGAGGUAGCGACACCACAAUUUAGUAUUUCAAAUAAAUGUCCUACCCAGUCAAAGUAAGGGAAAAUUAAUUCAAAGCAAAGACGAAACAAAAUUUUGGGACAUUGGUAAACAAGGUAAAACAUGAAGAUAUAUCAGCUAGAAUCUUUACGUCCACAUUGGGACAUUGGUAAACAAGGUAAAGCAUGAAGAUAUAUCAGCUAGAAUCUGACCUCCACAUUGCAGUAAAAAGUACCGAGAAACAAUGUAAAACAUGACGAAGAUCAGCUAGAAGUUGUACCUCCGCAUCGAGAUGCUGACAAAAUACUCGUCAACGGAAGUGCAGGGACCUAUAUCAAGUAUGGUGCUUGUGCAUAAGUAACACAAUCAGGUAAAGAGAAAUUGAAACAAAAUGCCAUAUGUUAGUUUAGGAUCCUCCAGCCAUUAAUUUCUGAAGUACAUUGUAUAUCAAAUAGAACUGUUUCUAUUUUUCUAAGCCCCUCCACUGAAUGCUUUAUUAUUAUAGCAAACAUGCCCGUGCGUUGCAACGGGAGAAAAAAAUCAUACGCCUCUAGCCUAAUAAGCAUUUCUCAAGCCCCUUCUCUGGUCCAUCUCUAUUUAAAGACGAAACCUCAUUUUAGAAAAAGUAGCUAUUUUAUAGUUAUUCGGUUAGAUAAUAACUGGUUUCUUGCUCUAAAAAUAAUUUAACAGGUUAAUUAUGUCCCUUUGAAUAGUAAUGCUCACCUUUAAUACUUGGAUUGGACGGUGAACUUCAGAAACUCACCUCAUCUCUUCUUCUUCAGAAUGUCCAUCCCUUGCUAGUCUCAUGAAGAUGAGGUCUCUAAAUAAUCAACAUUGUACCUGUAGAAAGAAAAUAUCAUGAUUAGUUUCGGACAAAAAUUGUUGGGUAAAGGAGAUAUGUUGCUCUUCUUUUCAUCAUUACGGAGUUAUGCAUCAGUAGAAAGAACCCAUAUCCCUAUGCAUGUCCUUGCUCAUUAAUGGAUUUUUUAGAUAGAGAAAGGAGAGCACAGACAUAAUAUGUUUUUCUAGAGAACGAUGCAGAUAAUAUUUAAGGAAACACUAACAAUUAACAUGGCAUAGGGCCGAGCUGAAACUUUACAAAACCUAAUGCAUGAGAAUAUGAGAUAGUACAUGAAUAGUAGGGCCAAGCUGCAUAGCUACAAGUUUCACUAAAGAUACAGUCUGGAUGAUAUCUCUACUCCAAGAGCAUCUACUGACAGAAAGAGGCUAUAAAACUUACCUCCAGCAGGCGAGCGGGCUGCAACCCCAAGAGCCUCUAGCACCCUGAUUGCAGUAAACCAGCUGUUUGGCCGUGCCAGCAUGUCCCAGCCUCCCAGUCACCACCCCGUGUGGUACCUCUACUGUA